GGGAUAUAGCAAAUACCCCUGGAGGAAAUACCAUCUGGAGGAAAUAAAGCCAAUGAGCAAAGAGAAACACAGCUGAGAGAUGUAAAGGCGUCACCCCCUGAACAUUUGAUUUGCAGUAACCUGUGUUUCCUUCUGCACAAAGUACUUGAAUCGUCUCUCCUCUAACACAAUUCAUAUCAGAAUUGUGCAAAUGGAAGUAUCCAAGAAAACAACUCUAGUCCCAGGUUACCCGGUUGGUAGCUGGUACAGUGGGGCCAGAGCCCACGCACAAGCAUUUC